AUGACUUUUGGUUAAAAUUCAAAGUUUUGAAGCUAUUUUCAUUAGUUUUCCUUAAGAUGAUAAAAGCAAAUAUCAUAGGUGAAGGAAAACAAUAAAAAUAAAAUUUUACCUGUUUGGUUUGUUUAUUCCAUUAGAGAAAUUUUUUUCACAAGAUAAUUGAGUAGGUAAUUUGUCACAUCAACUAUUACUGUACAAGUUUGUCGAUAUCGUUUGCUUACACUAUUGAAGAUGUUUUUGUGAACACGGAAAAUUCCUGAAACGAAAGAGACAAGAACAACGUGCACAAACAAAUAUUUGUAUUUGAUGAUUUUGGGUUACAAUCUCUCUCAAAUUUGAUCCUAUGAUUCGAUCUCCUUAAGGUGUUGAUUUGUGGAUGUUUCGUUGAUCUAAGGGCCGUCGAGG
rnacentral:lncRNA from 1 species